rnacentral:rRNA from 1 species
AAAAUUUUGAGUUUGAUGAUGGCUCUGAUUGAACGCUGUCCAAGUACUUGACACAUGCUAAUCGAACGACUAAUUAGUU